UACGUAGGCAGCAAGCGUUGUUCGGAAUUACUGGGCGUAAAGAGUGUGUAGGCGGUGCUCUAAGUUCGUUGUGAAAUCUCCCGGCUUAACUGGGAGGGUGCGGCGGAAACUGGAGUGCUUGAGCGCGGGAGAGGAAAGCGGAAUUCCUGGUGUAGCGGUGAAAUGCGUAGAUAUCAGGAGGAACACCUGUGGUGUAGACGGCUUUCUGGACCG
rnacentral:rRNA from 1 species